rnacentral:lncRNA from 1 species
AUGGAGGAGGCUGGAUAUAAUAAAAUUUAUCACCUUUGUAGUAAUUGCAAAGUAAACUACUUGAAUAAUUAUAUCAUAUCAAUGACUAAUAAUGAGCAUAAUAAUAUAAGAAGAUAUGGUAUGAGUGCCAAUAAAGAAACUCUCCAUCUAAGUCACUAUUCGUAAAAGUAAACCAUCAUAGGCCGAAUUACGGUCUUCAACACGGAGCAUUGGCUCAC